UUGGACCUGGGGGGCGGAGGUUGCAGUGAGCUGAGAUCACGUCACUGCACUCCAGUCUGGGCAACCGAGUGAGACUCUGUCUCAAAAAAAACAAAAAGACAAAAACUCAAAAGAAAAGAAAAGAAAAGCCUCAGGGAAGGCAAUUGCAUCCUUCUUUGGCAGGUCUGGUUUCCGGGUAGAUAAGGAAACUUCAGAGAUCGGCUUCAUCCUGUGCUCUGAGAGAGACAGAGGACUGCGGGGGAGGUCAGAGAGACCUUGAGGCCACCUCAUGUCAAAGCGCCAUGUUUUGGGGUAUCAGUUGCUGGGUCCUGGAAAGGUCUUUGUUUCCACCCACCCAUGUAUCCAUCCAUCCAUCCAUUAAAAAGUAAUUAUUGCGUGCCUAUCCUGAGCCAAAUACUGUGUUUAAGCCCCCAGGACAUGGCUCUUUGUCCCCUCUGCCCCUGGAGAGGGAUGGCUCACUUGAACAUUUAAUGCUACAGUGGAAUUAUAAUUAUGAAAAACCACACACUGCAAUUCAGGUUUAGGAUGAAAGUAUUAAUUUCCUGGUUUUAAUUAUUCAAUAGAAAUUAAUGAAAAUUCAAGAGGAAUCUCCAAGGAGCUUCGCUAACUAGCAGAGGUGGGGUGGAUCGAGGAGAUGAGAGUGGAGUGGAGUAAAGUGGAAGAGAGUGGGGUAAGCCAGAGGCUGAGGGCCCUGCACCUCUGCCCAGCCCAACUCAUCUGGGAGCUUUCCCAGGGCCAAGGCACGAGCCUGCUGCAUGAACCAAGCCUCAACCAAGACUCAGGGUUUGCUCAUUCAUCUGGGGGACUUCGGCUGGGCUAUGUGUUGAGCUCCAUCCCUGCUAGGAUGAUGCCAGACAGUGGGGAGAUGAAGACCCAGCCCUGCCCUCAGGGAGCUCCUGGGUCAUUGCAGGCAGACAGACCACACCUGUAGGGCCUGAGCUAAGCCCUGGAGUUCUGGCAACGCAGAGCCGGGCUGCUGGGACGAGGUGGGAGGUGAGGACAGGAAAGGCUUCCCUGAGAAGAUGACUGGCAGAGUUCUGAGGGUCUCUCCCUCCUGGGUGAACUGAGAAGCCCCCUCUGAACAGACGCAAGGUAACAUUUUAAAGUAGUGACCAUUUGGGGCAGGAUGAUUUCCCAGCGUGGUAAUGUGUCAUUUGUCCUCACUUUAAAAGAAUCCGAAUUCAGAUCUCUCUCUCCUCUCUCCCCUCUCUCCCCUCUCUCCCCUCUCUCUCCUCUCUCUCCUCUCUCUCCUCUCUCUCCUCUCUCCCCUCUCUCCCCUCUCUCCCCUCUCUCUCCUCUCUCAUCCACCCCUAAGGGCUAGGAGGGUGGAAGAUAAACUUCUGAGGGUGGGACGGCUCUGAGGCUUGGAGAAUGGGAGACAGUUUCACAAAAUGUCACUAAAUGUUCCCCAGAAAGGAAGAGGAUUGGAGCUUUGAGGGCAGAUGAUUCGGAGGGUGGGGGAACCUGUGUCCCAGUCCUAGGAGGCUCCCUACAAGGUGACAGGUCCUGAAAAGGGAUGGCUGGACAGGCCAUGAUGACCCCAGGAGCUCUGGCCUCAGAAGCCCUGGCAAGGGGUCCCCACACCCAAGCUCAGUGCCAAGAAGGAAGCUUUGGAUGGAAUGCAAUUGAUUCCUGCCUUGUGGCCAGUUUUGCAUCUAUUUGUAAAUUCAUUUCCAUGUUCCUGACUGCCUACUUAGGAGUGCCCUUUGAAUUCUCCUUUGAACUUGGUUGUAGCACCUUGCAGGAUCCCUCGUGAAUUAAUGAGUUAAAUAAAACCAUGGACACGUGUUUGUUCUAUUUGAUGAAGCCAUGAUACUCCUUUAUAAAAAGUAUUCUCUAGCAAUGCCUUAUAAUCCUAGUAGUGAGAACUACUACAUGCCCUCAUGCUACGAGGAGGAACAGAGGCAUAGCGACUUUAAGUAGUUUGCCCAAGGUCACACAGCUAGGUGGGGUGGGGCCAGGAUUUGGAUGCAGCAAUCUGGUUCAAAGUCCUUAAAGAGCACUUGAGCUCUGUUAUCUGUCAGUCCCCCAAGUAACCCCACAAAAUAGGUACUUUAUUUUUAGAGACAGGAUCUCACUCUGUUGCCCUGGCUAGAGUACAGUGGCCCAAUCACAGCUCACUGCAGCUUCAACCAGGAGGCUGAGGAGCUCAAGUGGCCCUCCCACUUCAGCCUCCUCAGUAACUGGGACUACAGGUGCACACUACUAGGCCCAACUAAUUUUUUUACUUUUUGUAGAGUCGGGAUCUUGCUAUGGUGCCCAGGCUGGCCUCGAACUCCUGACCUCAAGCGAUCCUCCUGCCUUGGCCUCCCAAAGUGCUGGGACUACAGGCAUGAGCCACCCCGCCAGGCAAAAUAGGUACAUUAUUUAUGCUCAAGAACAGCAGCACAGAGGUUAAGUAAUUCAUCCUCCCUCCCACGAAUCAAGCUAUGGAUAACACAGAGAAGACGUGGUUGAAGUUCAGGGACAGAUGGCAUAUGUUAUCUUCAUAAAGGCUGAAAUAAAAGCAAACAAAAUUAAAACAGACACAGAUCUUGGGAAUUUACCACCCUCUGGCUGGCUCCCUGUAAAGAAUUGGGCUGUAAUGAAGGCUGCACUUAGGCAAGCUUUGAGGGACAAGAAGAAGCAAGAUGGUGCCCUGGGAGGCCCUGGUUCAACCUUCCUAUCCCACGGCAUGGAGGUCAUGGGGGAAGAAACAGAGGCUUGAAGAGUGUAUCAUUUUCCUCCAGGUUCUCUGUGCUGAGUAGUAAGUGUGUUCCAUCAAUGUCCUCGUAUUAGUCUGCUUGGGCUGUCAUAACCAAAUAAUAUAGAUGGGGUGGCUUACACAAAAGAAAUGCAUUUUAUCAUGCUAUUCUAGAGGCUAGAAAUUGGGGGUCAGGGUGCCAGCAUGUUUGGGUUCUGGUGAGAGCUCCCUCCCUGGCUCACAGAAGGUCACCUUCUUGCUGUGUCCUCCCAUGGCAGAAGGAGAGAGAGAGAAAAAGAGAGACAGAGAGAGAAUCUCCUCUUCUUAUAAAGCCCCAGUUCCAUGAGGGCCCCACCUUUACGACCUCAUUUAAACUUACCUGCCUCUUAAAGACCCUAUCUCCAGAUAUAGUCACAUAGAAGGGGAAGGGGAGUUCGGGCUUCAGCAUAUGAAUUUUAGGGGAACACAGUUGAGGCCACAACAGCCCUGAAUGCUGACUAAGAGGUUGAGGAGAGGGGAUGAAGAUUUUCUCUCCAGUCUCUGUUUUCAUUCCAUUGGGUUUAACAACUGUAUUAGUCUGUUUUUGUUGCUAUAAAAGAAUACCUGACACCGAGUGAUUUAUAAAGAAAAGAGAUUUUGCUGGCUCACAGUUAUGCAAGCUAUACAGGAAGCAUGGUGCCAGCAUCUGCUUCUGGUGAGGUCUCUGGAAGCUUCCAGUCAUGGUGGAAGGCAAAGGGGUAGCAGAUGCAUCACAUGGAGAGAGCAGAAGUGAAGGGGGCGGAGAAGUCAGGCUCCUUUAAACAACCAGCUCUUGGUGAACUCAUUACCACUCAUUACCGUGGGGAGGGCACUAAGCCAUUCAUGAGGGAUCACCCCCAUGACCCAGACACCUCCCACUAGGCCCCACCUCCAAUAUUGGAGGUCAUAUUUUGACAUGAGGUUUGGAGGGAACAAAACACCCAAACCAUAUCAACAGCAAAACCUAUGGCCGCUUCAAGUUAUAGCCACUCCUUCCAGGGAAGAGAAUAAUCAAAUCUUAAGAAAGCCCUGCACUUACUUCCAUAUGACUGUUUCCCCAGUAAUUGUCCUCACACCUGCGUGUCUUGUUAGGACCAGUGCAGGUGUUAGGACACACCU
rnacentral:lncRNA from 10 species